rnacentral:tRNA from 1 species
CAGUAUAUAGUUUAUAUAAAAUAUAGCAUUUGGGUUGCUAAGAUGUUGUUGCUGA